rnacentral:rRNA from 1 species
AACGAACGCUGGCGGCGUGCCUAACACAUGCAAGUCGAGCGCGAAAGGGGUAACCCGAGUAGAGCGGCGCACGGGUGCGUAACACGUGGGUAAUCUGCCCUGGAGAUUCGGAUAACCAUCCGAAAGGAUGGCUAAUACGGGAUAAGCCCCCGGUGUCUUCGGACGCUGAGGGAAAAGGUGGCCUCUGUUUACAAGCUACCACUCCAGGAUGAGCCCGCGGCCCAUCAGCUAGUUGGCGGGGUAAUGGCCCACCAAGGCAACGACGGGUAGCUGGUCUGAGAGGACGAUCAGCCACACUGGAACUGAGACACGGUCCAGACUCCUACGGGAGGCAGCAGUGGGGAAUUUUGCGCAAUGGGCGAAAGCCUGACGCAGCAACGCCGCGUGUGUGAUGAAGGUCUUCGGAUUGUAAAGCACUUUCGACCGGGACGAAAAAGCAGGUGCUAAUCAGCCUGCCUUGACGGUACCGGGAGAAGAAGCACCGGCUAACUCUGUGCCAGCAGCCGCAGUAAUAC